rnacentral:rRNA from 1 species
UGGGGAAUAUUGCACAAUGGGGGAAACCCUGAUGCAGCAACGCCGCGUGAGUGAUGACGGUCUUCGGAUUGUAAAGCUCUGUCUUUAGGGACGAUAAUGACGGUCCUAAGGAGGAAGCCACGGCUAACUACGUG